UACGUAGGGUGCGAGCGUUAAUCGGAAUUACUGGGCGUAAAGCGUGCGCAGGCGGUUUUGCAAGACAGAUGUGAAAUCCCCGGGCUCAACCUGGGAACUGCAUUUGUGACUGCAUGGCUAGAGUGCGGCAGAGGGGGAUGGAAUUCCGCGUGUAGCAGUGAAAUGCGUAGAUAUGCGGAGGAACACCGAUGGCGAAGGCAAUCCCCUGGGCCUGCACUGACGCUCAUGCACGAAAGCGUGGGGAGCAAACAGG
rnacentral:rRNA from 1 species